AGAGUUUGAUCCUGGCUCAGAAUGAACGCUGGCGGCGUGCCUAACACAUGCAAGUCGAGCGGUAAGGCCCCUUCGGGGGUACACGAGCGGCGAACGGGUGAGUAACGCGUGGGUAACCUACCCAGAAGUGGGGGAUAGCCCCGGGAAACCGGGGGUAAUACCGCAUGAGUAACAAUAGACACAAGUCGGUUGUGGGAAAGGCGGGGAUCCUUCGGGACCUGUCGCUUCUGGAUGGGCCCGCGUCCGAUUAGCUUGUUGGUGGGGUAAUGGCCUACCAAGGCUGCGAUCGGUAGCCGGCCUGAGAGGGUGAACGGCCACAUUGGGACUGAGACACGGCCCAGACUCCUACGGGAGGCAGCAGUGGGGAAUUUUGGGCAAUGGGCGCAAGCCUGACCCAGCGACGCCGCGUGGAGGAUGAAGGCCUUCGGGUUGUAAACUCCUGUCAGGUGGGAAGAAAUGCCUGUCGGUUAAUACCCGACAGGAGUUGACGUACCACCAAAGAAGCCCCGCUAACU
rnacentral:rRNA from 1 species